rnacentral:lncRNA from 1 species
GUUUCAACCCUUUGGUGGCAAGAAUAGCUCCUGGAAACCCAUCUACUUCUGUAGGUGCCAUGACCGCAUGUCUUAGUGCCUCACGACGAACAUACACAUAUGCCUACUCGAUGGUGGAAAAUGGUUUCAUUUGCAAGAUCAGCCUAAGGAUGUUGUUAAGGCGGUCGUCAAUCCCAUCAAGAAAGGUGUAGACUCCAUCUUCUUGGGUUAGACUGUUGAAUUAACGGAUGUCCACAGCGCAUUUAAUCAAAUUUGAGCGACGAAAGUCAAUUUCACACCACAAUCCCUAUAAUUCGGUGUAAUAUUUUUCCACAGAUCUGCCCACUGUCUCAAUCAUGUUACCCUUCGUCGGAGGUCAUGGACUUGGGAUUUAUCAUUCCCAUCAAAAUAAGUCGUGGCAAUCACAUCUCAUACUUCUUUAGCAGUGGAAAAACGAAUUAAGUUGCCAAUAAGGGUAGGGUCCAAAGAAUUGAUAAUCCAUCCAUCAAUGAUUGUUUCUCAGUAUGCCAUUUCAAAAGGACGGAUCGGUCGGUGAAGGUGGAGGAGAAUCUCCAUUAAGGUAACCCAAUUUAUCCUUUUCGAAAAUAGACAUUUCCAUAACUU